GUUCUGUUGUUUUUUAAGGGGUCUCUCAAUUAGUCACCAAUAUCAAAGCAUCUUCUAACUUUGACACUGUUCUCACAUUGACCACUUUUGCUGUCUAUACUUUCUAUAGAACUUACAGCCUCCUGGAUUUCUGACUGAACUGGAAGAUUCUUUGCUAAACUGGUCAGUCAUGUUUUGUUCAGCUAACCUAGCUCUUCAUUAGUGUCUUCUGUAAACUUACUGAUCAUUACUGGGUAUGUCCAUUAUGUAUUUAAAUAUAGCUUCUUUGAGCUCACCACACACUUUAUUGAUCUAGGUUUUUUUUUUUAAUCUCCUCUUUUUAUAAUUUCCAGCAGUCCAGCUGUGCAGCUUUUGAUGCCUUUCACAAUGCCUCAUGGAUCAGCUCCGAGGGAGCGGAGAGUUUUUGGAGGCAUUUUGCUGCCUUUAUACAUUUCUUUUGUGUGUGUGCGCACACCUAAUGGGAAGAAGACUGGUUGCUGGUAUGAGUACCUCUUCAGAAAUGCACUAAGUUACUGUGACCAGUCAGACAUGGAGAUAACAAACUACAAUACUUCACAGGAUUUGUAGUGAGAAUCUUAAUGGGGGAAAGAGUGUCCCACUUGGUGUUCACAUCCAAAGAAGCUUCAUGUGUCAGUAAGCGAAGCUCUAGAAACAAGGCUGUUUUGAGCAUGUAGCUCCACAGCAGGACUCAGCAAGUGACGCAGGACUCUCCAGCAGCCUACAC
rnacentral:lncRNA from 1 species